AGAUUGAAUUUGGUAUUGAUGAAGCAAACAAUAAUAACGGUAACUCCAGUGAAAUGACUUGAAACUUGUUAGUGACGACUAGAUUAGGAGUGUAUUUAAAGCUGAUUCUGGUUUC